rnacentral:rRNA from 1 species
UACGGAGGGUGCAAGCGUUAUCCGGAUUCACUGGGUUUAAAGGGUGCGUAGGCGGGCAGGUAAGUCCGUGGUGAAAUCUCUGAGCUUAACUCAGAAACUGCCAUGGAUACUAUUUGUCUUGAAUAUUGUGGAGGUAAGCGGAAUAUGUCAUGUAGCGGUGAAAUGCUUAGAUAUGACAUAGAACACCAAUUGCGAAGGCAGCUUACUACACAGUAAUUGACGCUGAGGCACGAAAGCGUGGGGAUCAAACAAGG